ACUCUUUUUAGUUUUGGUUACCUCAUUGUUUCCUGCCCUGUCUUUGUCAUGCAGUGGCCUGAAGAAAAAUGAUGGUGACUCUGAUAUGAGCAGUGAUGAAGCUGACAGCCCCAGCAGGUUUGAGGGGGCGGAGUUUAAGAGUUCUCUGAGGAACUUUGAGCUGUCUGAAAGCAAAAGGACACGCCUCCGAGAACUGGAGGUGAAGGUGAUGAAUUUCCAGGAUGAGUUGGAGUCGGGUAAGAGACAGAGGAAGUCUAGUAUGACUCUACAACAGCAAGUUCAGCACUACAGAAACAGACUGCUACAGAAGGAGUUUGACAAGGACGACCAGGAAAAGAAAGACAAAUAUUCACAAAAACAGAAAGACCGGUCCAAAAAAGAUGAGCGGAGAGAUAAAGGGGAGGACAGGAGUAAAACAAGGGAUAAAGAAAAAAGUAGAAAGAGUGAGGACAGAGAAAGGAGUAGAGGGCGGAGUCGAGACAAAGAAGAGAGGAGAGAGAGGUAUGCACAGACCACACAUAUUUUGUCUAGUUCAGGGUUCUCCAAACUCGGUCCUGGAAGGGCCAGUGUUCUGCAGUGUUUAGCCAAAGCCACUAGAAGGUAAGCCUGC
rnacentral:lncRNA from 1 species